GGGAGGGAUCCUUACGAGUGCGAUCAUACCGGAUCCCAUCAGGGCUCCGCAGUUAAGCGCGCUCGGGCUAGAGUAGUACCGGGAUGGGUGACCUCCCGGGAAGUCCUAGUGUUGCACCGU
rnacentral:rRNA from 1 species